ACUACGAAACAGUAUCAGAAAACAUCAAAUAUUUUUUGUCGUAAUCCUGCUUCAAACUAUCAAGAGCCUUCUAAUCAUUUUCUGCACGCCUUAUCUGUUACCAAUGCAUCGUCAACGGGACAUGACAAUUUAUUUUAGGCAGAUGUGAUGAAUGAUGCUGGUUACUCCUAUCCCUCCUCUGGAUUCGCUGAGUUUCGGGUCCUUUAAGUGCAGACAUGUACAGAGCCUUUGAGGUAACACACAUAUCUUCGACCGAUGCUCGUAGAUUGUUGUUAGGAGUUAAACAAUCCACUUCUGCCUGUAUGUCCAUCAACUUUUCACAAUAAUUUUCGGUCUGUUCGAGUCUGCAUUUAAUUUGAAGAGAGUUGAGCGAAAAAGUUUUUUCUUCAAAUGCCGUUCUCACACGCCUUAGAUCGCCCAUCACCGUAUCGUGUCUCUGCAUUGCUGUCACUAACUUUUGCAGGACUUUUGGACCCCCUCCUUCUUUCGAACCUUCUUCCCUGGUAAAUAUUUUCAUUUCCUUUUCACUCAUUCUGGCGCUUUCUUUUAAUUCAAGAAGGUCGAAAAGUAAUGCACUGGGAUUAGACAAUGGUUAGCCCAUAUACUGCAGGGUAUGCAAAAACUAUGCCGUCACAAAGUUCAACGUAAUUGAUUUACAAAAGAACGAAAAAACGAGAAAUUUCCACAAAAAAUCUGUAUCCGCUUCAAUAGAUAAAUGGUCAAUGGCAGGAACGGAAAAGUUGACAAUUAUUAUGCCAUUGUACACAUCAAAAUGUUUUCCAAAAACUAUGUAUGGGCAUCAGAGGGUUAACGCAGCGAAACAAACACAAAUUAUGCUGCCAAUGCACACAAGCAAACGCCGCCAAUUUAUGCACAAUUGCCGCAACGAUAACGUUACCGAAGUAUUGGCAGCACCAAUAAGCGGUACUUCGCAAAAGAGAAUUGAAAACAGCGGCAAUGACCGGUGCGUCUGAUUAGCGAGUACAGUAAACCCUCAUCAAUUUUCACUUUUCUUCAUUUCACCAAUAUUCCACAUAUAACUAUU